rnacentral:rRNA from 1 species
UUUUUGGUGACUCUAAAUAACUUUACGGAUCACAUUAUGUGACAUAUCAUUCAAGUUUCUGACCUAUCAGCUUUAGACGGUAGGGUAUUGGCCUACCGUGGCUAUGACGGGUAACGGGGAAUUAGGGUUCGAUUCCGGAGAGGGAGCCUGAGAAACGGCUACCACAUCUAAGGAAGGCAGCAGGCGCGCAAAUUACCCAAUCCUAAUACAGGGAGGUAGUGACAAGAAAUAACAAUACAGAACCUUACGGUUUUGUAAUUGGAAUGAGUUAAGUAUAAACCCCUUAACAAGUAUCAAUUGGAGGGCAAGUCUGGUGCCAGCAGCCGCGGUAAUUCCAGCUCCAAUAGCGUAUAUUAAAGUUGUUGCAGUUAAAAAGCUCGUAGUUAAUUUUCUGUUAAUUUUUAUAUAUAAUGCUACGAUAUUUAUAUAAUAUUAACAUAAUUCAUAUUACUUUUUAGUAUAUGAAACUUUACUUUGAGAAAAUUAGAGUGCUUAAAGCAGGCUAUUGCCUUGAAUACUCCAGCAUGGAAUAAUAUUAAGGAUUUUUAUUCUUCUUAUUGGUUCUAGAAUAAAAAUAAUGAUUAAUAGGGACAGUUGGGGGCAUUUGUAUUUAACAGUCAGAGGUGAAAUUCUUAGAUUUGUUAAAGACAAACUACUGCGAAAGCAUUUGCCAAGGAUGUUUUCAUUAAUCAAGAACGAAAGUUAGGGGAUCGAAGACGAUCAGAUACCGUCGUAGUCUUAACCAUAAACUAUGCCAACU